AUGAAACUAAAAACAUUUUCAUUUGUACAGACACAUCUCACUCAUAUUCGUUCCUCUUUCUUCUAUUCUCUCUUUAGUUUGUGUCUACAGCAGCUACUGUAUAUACACCCCAAAGGCUCUUUUAAGAGCCACAUCACGAGAGCGUCUUUGGCUUUAUUUUGUGUCACCCUCCACUGCCGCCUCCACAGAGUUUUUUCCCUGCCAUCUAUUACUUUAAGCAAGGCACAUCUAUGGCCAAUCCUCUGUGCCAUUCAUCAGACACCAUCAGAGUUUUUCCAGUGAAACCGACACUUGGUCCAUCCAAGCCAACAAACCCGAAUUUCAUGAAGAAUCCAUAAAAGACAAUCAAGAAGUUCUUGGAAGUGCUUAGAAGGGGGGAAAAAAAUAACAUUAACUUUCUUGAGAACUAGAAAUAUAAAUUUACUGAUUUACUGACAUUUACUUCACAUGUCGACAAAAACUGUUACCGUAAUUAGGAUGUUGCUCAUUAACCACAUUCAUGUUAACCUAUCUAUUGUUUUUUUUACUGUAAAAUAUUCAGAUUUUUUCCUAUGAUGUACAAGGCUUUGAUUUUCAAAUUAUGCCUUUACUGUUUUAUAUACAAUAAUGAAUCCAUAUUUUAAUGUUUAAUCUAUUUACCUAUUAAAAUAGACAGUAGCUUAACUUGCAUGAAGUAGACGGUCCAAAAAUUGUUUUAAAGACAGCUGCCAAAUGAAAAGUAUUACAGGGACUGUAACAUAAUUUAAUAAAGAUUAAUACCCUUUUUGAAAAGCAGCAAGGCACAUCUAUGGCCAAUCCUCUGUGCCAUUCAUCAGACACAAUCAGGGUUUUUCCAGUGAAACCGACACUUGGUCCAUCCAAGCCAACAAACCUGAAUUUCAUGAGGAAUCCAUAAACGACAAUCAAGAAGUUCUUGGAGCCAAUCCUCUGUGCCAUUCAUCAGACACCAUCAGAGUUUUUCCAGUGAAACCGACACUUGGUCCAUCCAAGCCAACAAACCCGAAUUUCAUGAAGAAUCCAUAAACGACAAUCAAGAAGUUCUUGGAAGUGCUUAGAAGGGGGAAAAAAAAUAACAUUAACUUUCUUGAGAACUAGAAAUAUAAAUUUACUGAUUUACUGACAUUUACUUCACAUGUCGACAAAAACUGUUACCGUAAUUAGGAUGUUGCUCAUUAACCACAUUCAUGUUAACCUAUCUAUGUUUUUUUUUUUUACUGUAAAAUAUUCAGAUUUUUUUCCUAUGAUGUACAAGGCUUUGAUUUUCAAAUUAUGCCUUUACUGUUUUAUAUACAAUAAUGAAUCCAUAUUUUAAUGUUUAAUAUACUGUACAUACUUAAAUUCAUUAAACUCUGAUGGCGUUCGAGAUAAAGGUAUUAAACCUCCUAGAAAAAUAUUCAGUAAUAUUAUUCCCUAUAAUGCACAAGGCUUGAUUUUCCAUACCAUUGUUCUUUGUUUUUAUACUAGUACUGAGCUAGUAAAAAUAAUUUCCAAAUAUUAAAUUCCCUAUAAUGCACAAGGUCUUGGUUUUCUAGUAUUAUGUUUUUCUAUACAGUACUGAAACCAUAUUUUUCAUGUUUAAUAUACUGUACCUACUUAAAUUCAUUAAACUAUGACCCCGUUUCAGUUAAAGGUGUCAAACCAACUGUAAAAUAUUGAGAAAAUUAUUCCCCAUAAUGCACAGGGCUUGGUUUUUCAGAUUAUGCCUGUAUUGUUUUUAUAUACAGUACUGAAACCAUAUUUCUUAUGUUUUAUGUGUCCACUUAAAUUGAUUAGCCUAAACUCUGAAACCGUUUGAGAUAUCAAACCAAUAGAGGUGGGAAUCUCUAUAGACACCUCACGAUUCAAUUACGAUUCAGAGGGCUGCGAUGCCAUGAUAAAACGAUUAUCGAUGCAUCUUUUGUCUGGGAGAACGUUCGUGCAUAGUACGCAUUUCAAAACUGAGGAUGUUAAUAGGGCUGACUUACAUCUCAUAUCUUCAUCCUGCUGAAAGUGCAUUCUGAAUAAAUAAACUUAUUUCCAAACUAACAUGCUUCAGUCAAGUUCGUCUUCUCAUAAACCAUGUUUUAAACGAUGUUUCUCUUACUGAUUAUAUUUUAUACCAGUUUAAAUUAAUUUGACUAAACACCCUUACAAAACCAUGGUUUUAAUGUAGUAACCAUGUUAUAUACAUAUAUAUAUAUAUACAUACAUAUAUACAUACAGUACAGACCAAAAUUUGGAAACAUUACUAUUUUUUAAUGUUUUUUGAAAGAAGUCUCUUCUGCUCAUCAAGCCUGCAUUUAUUUGAUCAAAAAUACAGAAAAAAAACAGUAAUAUUGUGAAAUAUUAUUACAACUUAAAAUAAUAGAUUUCUAUUUGAAUAUACUUUAAAAAAAAUAAUUUAUUCCUGUGAUGCAAAGCUGAAUUUUCAGCAUCAUUACUCCAGAUUCAGUGUCACAUGUAACAUCCAGUCUAUCACAUGAUCAUUUAGAAAUCAUUCUAAUAUUCUGAUUUAUUAUGAGUGUUGGAAACAGUUCUGAUGUCUAAUACAUUUGAUGAAUAAAAGGUUAAAAAGAACUGCAUUUAUUCAAAAAAAAAAAAGUUUCCAAACUUUUGGUCUGUACUGUAUACACACACACACACACACACACACACACACACAUAUAUAUAUAUAUAUAUUAUAUAAUUAUUAUUUUUUAUUUCAGACUGAUUUCCAUUUGUAUUACCACAUUUUUACUACAAAUCCCGUGGUUGACUCAGUGUCAACAGCAAUUGAUAAUUGAUAAUCAACAAUAACAACAAAGUCUCGACAGUUGUCAUACAAAUCUGAUGGUUGAUGCAGAAAAACGUUCGCAAAAGAACGCGACUGUAAGUAGAUUAACAUUAUUUGUCUUAACUCUUAACGAACACCUUUUUAUAUUUCAAGUUUUUUCCCUUCAUUUCCCGAGAAGUCUUCGGUGUAAAGGUAAACGGGAAAGCGGAAGUUAGCUGACGUCACUGUGAAAGGGGCCUAUUGGGUGGAUGGCGAACUACAAAUAACGAAUGCAAUGACAGACAUGAAAUGUAUAAUAUAAUAUUAUUUCCG
rnacentral:lncRNA from 1 species